GAGGGUAUAGCUCAGUUGUAGAGUGUGUGCUCAGCAUGUAGGAGGGCCUGGGUUCAAUCCCCAGUACCUCCA
rnacentral:tRNA from 1 species